UUUUUAGUAAACUCAAUCAAUCGUGGAUGUCAUUCUUGUAUAUUAUGUAAUUUUCUGAAGAAAAAUGGGAAAAUAUAAUAUGUUGAAAUGAAAUCAGGAAAUUUAUUCAAAAAUCUCUGAAAAGCAAACUACAACUUUUAAUUUGCUUAACUAUAAAAUUGUUGUAAUGAAUAUCUGCUGGUGCAUAUGCAGAGAUAUACAUGUAUAUAUAUAUAUAUAGAGAGAGAGAGAGAGAGAGAGAGAGAGAGAGUGUGUAUGUUCAGGGUUUAAAUAUCAAAUUAAUUUUGUUUCUAGAAAUUGUUGUAAGACUUGUGUUAAGAAUAUUUAUCAUCAAUGUGUCUCUAUAUUUAGUUAUAUAUACGAUUUUCUAAUAAUUAUAUAUUUUUAUUAUCUGAUGAACAUAGUAAAUAGUCACAUUGAAAAUAAAACUAUACAUGUUUGUUAUAUACAAAAUUUACAUGCCUUAAUCAAAGUGCAUAGUUUUUUCUGAACUUAUUGAACCUUGUAAUCCUUAGACUAGUGCAUGAUUGUGUAUUCUAAUGACAUAUGACUUUGUUUUGGCAUCAAUUUCUUCCAUUUAUUAAUAUUUUUUGAAAAACUUUACAGAUCAUAUUGUUGAAGUGACCUUACACUUGUAUAAUCAAACCCUACUCAUUUUUAUAAAACCUCGACAUUAAUUUGAAGACAACCAUACUACAAUCGUAAUAAUAAAAAAAUUGGAGCUUUAUUUAAUAUUAUGUACAAAGUUUAAUUUUCAAGAUGGCUUUUUUUUUACUAUUUAACAUUUAGUAGUUGUAAUAAAUCAUCACAAAGUCAUCGUUGUUUAUUUUCAAUGAAAUCUGCAAUAUUCAAUUGAGGAAACUAUUAAUUUUUAGUUAAAAUCUUCAAAAUUAAAUGAGUUAUUACUUUCAUUAUUAAAUCUCGAAGUUGAUGCAUGAACUAUCAUGUCCAUGUCAGAAUGUAUCAUAUUGCACUGAUAUCUUAAUUUUUAUAUCAUUAUAUCAUAGUUAUUUAGAAAGAUGUAUAUAUUUUUAUAAUAUUGAUUUUGAAAUUAUGCUUGUUUAUUUCUUGUCAAAAUUACUAGAAUACAAUGAAAUCUAAAUUAACCAUGUAGAACAAAAUAUUGUAAAUUUUAAUGCUUGUAAUUUUUUUUAGGUUUGAUUGUGAAAGAAAAGUGGUAAUGAAAUUUAAAUAUAAACAAAAUUAGAAGGAUAAAUACUUAGAUUGAUCCAGUACAAAGCCAAAUAUAAAACGUAUAGAUACAAAUAAAACAAUCCCAAGUAUAUAUCCAGGAUUUUUUAAAUUGAUUUCCUGUAUUUUAUGAAAAAUCUAUUGAUCAAAUCAGCUUAACUUUUCAGUUAAUUCUGUGCACAUUUCACAAGAAGUGUACAAGAAAUUAUUUUUAUGAGGGCUCUUUAUAAUUCUUUUGCACAUAAUAUGUUAGAAUUGUUUAUUAAAUGCUGGUAUUCACUGAACAUUUAUAGAUCAUGUUGUGUGAAUUUGUUUUUGAAAACUUUGUUGCAGAAAUUAACAUAUAUUUUACGUUUGAAAAUAACGGGAUCUU
rnacentral:lncRNA from 1 species